rnacentral:misc_RNA from 1 species
GAGCGUCAUUACACCCUUCAAGCGUAGCUGGUAAUGGGCCUUUCGCCUCCCCAGGCAGGCCUAAAAAGCAGUGGCGGUCCGGCGUGGAUUCAAGCGUAGUAAUUUUCUCCCGCUCUAGAAGAAACGCCUGGCUGGCCAAUAAUCACCUAAUUUUCCAAAAAAUUGACCUCGGAUCAGGUAGGGAUACCCGCUGAACUUAA